AAAAACUAUGAAGUUGACAUGAACAGCAUGUUUAUGGUUGAGAAGGUUGCUUUGGGAUGAAAUACAGUUGAUGUGAAGCCAAACUGAUGGAUAUCUGUUGGAGGUGGAUCCGGGGGAGAGUGCUGUGACUGGUGCUGCUCGACUUGGACUUCAAGGAGGCCUGGGGUUGUUGUGCACAUACUCCAUCCAGGAUUACUGCAUAAGAGGUGUUGGAGGGGUGGCGCACAGAGAUGAAGUGGCCGGCACAUCCUGUAGCUCUAUCUGGGUGGACGAAUGCUGUUUCAAAUUCUCUGAACUGAAUCCGACUGAGCUCACACUGCUGGGAUCUCGAUCUCACGGAUUUCCUACUCCAUAAUCAUCAUGGCUAGGAGUAGUCAGUGGGACUGACGCAUUGGGCAUCACAGCAUCUCUGGCAACGGGCUCCAAAUUAUGUAUGUCCGGAUAGGAGAUGAACGAGUUCGGGUUGGUGUCAUCCAUGGUGAACUUGUGAAGAUAAUACAAUGUGCACGGAGAAAUUGAUUCAAUUGUAGUGUAUGAAAUUGUUGAUCAGAACAAGUGCGAAUUGGAAUAAGUGAUUGUGACAAGUGAACAAAAAUUACAGUUGCAGAUGUUUGAACGAAUACAGGUAUGAGAAUAGACAUUUAUCAUUAACAUAGAAUCUAGCACAAUUACUAACACUAAUAGAAGGAAUGACCUUUGAAUUGAUCUUUAUGAUAAUUACUCUCAAGCCCUAGAAACAUACCUAGAUGAGGUAUCUUCAAGUUCGCCCUUUCCCUCAAAUUUUAUUAAAUGGCUGACUUUUAUUAUUGAAUGAUUGUGUGUGACAUAUUUUUUAUUGAUUCUUGAUUGUUCAAGAUAAUACUUUCGACUCAUGGAGGUUAUAAUAACACAGUUUAUAACCGGGGUUGGAAAAUUUUACAAUAGUAAAGUUCCCAAAAAUUUUCCCUAUCUUUGUUGCUGUAAUAUACAGAACAACAAUAUCUCUGCAAUCAAUCAGUGGCCUCUUCAAAGCUCUGAGCUGGGCGCCAUGUGUGACAGGCCUAGCUCCAGGGAGGGCAUGGACCACACAAAAAAUAGAUGAAUUUAUGGAAGUGCUCACUUUUAUGGGUACAUGAAUAUAUGCCCCUCUGUGUAAUAUCAGACCUGAGAAUUUAUUUAAUUGGUUGAGAAAUUUGUAGUUUAUCCCAGAUGUAGGAUUGGAGUGUUCCAAUAAUAUUGAGCUCAAAUAAAGCGAUUUUAGAAUUAUUACCUGGUUGUUAUUCUGAUAAAGAGCCAAUGCAACCCGAACAAAGAUAUAGAUCAACUCAACAAUUCAAAUUUUGGUAUCCCUUUCUUUGUUCUCUGAUUGGUUGUUCGUGCAAAGAGGAAUAAAUCUAGCAAGAUUGCUUCUAUUUAAUAUUUAUCUGUUGAUAAACCAAACAAUAAAUGUAAUUAAAUUGAAUAAUACUGUUUGUCAAUGUAGACUUACAUACAAAGAGUAUUUGUAACUUUUUGUUAUUAUUGUACAUCAGAAUACAAUAUCUUUCUUAUAAUUUGUUUUUCAAAAAUAAACUCAUUU